rnacentral:rRNA from 1 species
GUGAGUGUUCAAGGGCGCAUGGUGGAUGCCUUGGCAUCAAGAGCCGAUGAAGGACGCGGUAAUCUGCGAUAAGCCUCGGGGAGUUGGUAAACGAGCUGUGA